UCAUAUGUGGGAACUGGCCAUUUCACGCUUGAGAAGAAGAAAAAUAAGAAGAUGGCAGUGACACGCUCACUCCCACUCCGCUUGGCCAUUUCACACUUCACUAAACCAUUUCACCACUUCUCCUUCUCUACCUCCACCACCGCACCGCCACAACACCCUCCUCCCAUCCGAGUCGCUCUCACUGACUCAGUCGGCCGCGCCGUCUUCGCAACUCGCCCGAUCCCUUCCGGUGAUCUCAUCCACACCGCCCAACCCGCCGUCUGCCACCCUUCUCCCUCCGCCGUCCACUCCGUCUGCUAUUCCUGCCUCGCCUCUCUGUCCUCAUCAAUACCCCAAUGCACCCCGUUUUGCAGCCACCAUUGCCACCAACGCUCUAAGGACUAUUACGAUGUUGAGAUGAAAGCGAAUUGGAUGGACUUUGAUAACUAUUGCCGGACCCGUGGUUUGAAAUAUCCAUUUAUGGUAAAGAGGUUGGCUUGUAUGGUCGUAUCAGGAGUUUCCAAAAGUGACAGUCUUGACAUACUUCAGCCUGCCAAUUUGACACCUGAGAUGAUUUUAGAGAUGGAGGAGGAGUUUUCCUUGCUAAGGAGUGCCUUCACGAAGGCACUUAUUGCGGAUGAACAUAUUGCUUUUUUGACCAAGCAAUGGUACAUUAAUGUUUUGGCCCGAAUUCGAAUCAAUGCAUUUCGCAUUGAAUUGGCUGGUGGACUAUAUGAAGAUCUCCUUGCAUCAGCAGUUGCAUCUGUAGAAGCUGAAGCUGCUGUUGGAAAUGCUGUCUAUAUGCUUCCUUCCUUCUAUAAUCAUGAUUGUGAUCCUAAUGCACAUAUUAUAUGGAUAGACAAUGCAGAUGCAAAAUUGAAGGCCCUCCGUGACAUUGAUGAAGGUGAAGAACUCAGAAUCUGCUAUAUCGAUGCCAGCCUGGACCGUGAUGCUAGGCGAGAACUAUUAUUUCGAGGUUUUGGCUUUCAAUGCAAUUGUAGUAGGUGCUUGCAUGGCGAUUAGCUGUGAUUCUCUAAAGAUAUUCUCCUAGGUUUUGCAAUAUAAACUGGUUGUAACAAUGAACUGCGUAGGAAACAUUAACAAAGGGAUGAAGUCUGGAACGAAUACUAUGAAUUCACAAUCCCGAGUAAUGGAUUUUAAUUUGUCAUUGUCAAUACUCAAUAGAGUAUACAUGCACUCAGUGACUGCAGAGGAGUUAUAGUGAAGGGGUUCAAGUUUUGAUUUUCA